GCUUAUGGCCAUCCUGAUGACACCCGAUCUCGCCUGACCUCGGAAGCUAAGCAGGGUCGGGGCCUGGUAAAUACCUGGAUGUGAGACCGCCUGGGAAUACCAGGUGCUGUCAUUU
rnacentral:rRNA from 1 species